AGGAGUCUCUGUCUGUCUGUAAUCCUCCUUAACUGUGGAGACAGCCAGAGGUAACCUGUCUCUCUCUCUGUAACCCUCCUUAACCGUGGAGACAGCCAGAGGUAACCUGUCUCUCUCUCUGUAACCCUCCUUAACCGUGGAGACAGCCAGAGGUAACCUGUCUCUCUCUGUAACCCUCCUUAACCGUGGAGACAGCCAGAGGUAACCUGUCUCUCUCUCUGUAACCCUCCUUAACCGUGGAGACAGCCAGAGGUAACCUGUCUCUCUCUCUGUAACCCUCCUUAACCGUGGAGACAGCCAGAGGUAACCUGUCUCUCUCUCUGUAACCCUCCUUAACCGUGGAGACAGCCAGAGGUAACCUGUCUCUCUCUCUGUAACCCUCCUUAACCGUGGAGACAGCCAGAGGUAACCUGUCUCUCUGUAAUCCUCCAGGUGAUGGUCGGGGUCUCUCCUCCCUGACUAGCGGUACCGAGGACCUGUUUGACCCUCUCCCCAGCAGGAAGACCCCAGAGUCCUUCCUGGGUCCUAAUGCAGCAUUGGUCAACCUGGACUCACUGGUCACCAAGCCUCCUCAGCCUGCUCCUGUAGUCAACCCCUUCCUCGCUGCCGCAGUCCCUGUAGCCGCCCCCAGGCCAACCCGUUCCAGAUGGGCCAGCCUAACCCCCUACCUUAAACCAGAUGAGGAUCAGCCCUAUGCCAGGCCUGAGUCUGGGAGGUGGUGCAGGGUUUAGCAGCUUGUCCUCCAUGGCAGACCCUCUGCCCCUCUCCUCCUUGCCACCACCCCAGCCCCUGGGGAUGGUCCCCCUGACGGGCCACAUGGUCCCCGGGAUUGGAGGGAUGGGGGGUAUCCCAACCUCUGUGUCUAUGUCCCAGCCCCUGUUCAGUUCAGCUCUGCCCCCCACAGCGGGCACACAUCCUCCUGGGACCACCAACCCCUUCCUGUUGUGAGGGAACACCUCGACAACACCCCUGGAAUCCUCUCCUCAGUCUUUCCACCUCGCCGUUUCCUCUCUUCCCGUUUCCUCUCCUCUCUCUCUUCCCGUUUCCUCUCCUCUCUCUCUUCCCGUUUCCUCUCCUCUCUCUCUUCCCGUUUCCUCUCCUCUCUCUCUUCCCGUUUCCUCUCCUCUCUCUCUUCCCGUUUCCUCUCUCUCUUCCCGUUUCCUCUCUCUCUCUCUCUUCCCCGCUCCUCUCUCUCUCUUCCCCGCUCCUCUCUCUCUCUUCCCCGCUCCUCUCUCUCUCUUCCCUCUCUCUCUCUCUCUUCCCCUCCUCUCUCUCUCUUCCUCUCUCUCUCUCUUCCCGCUCCUCUCUCUCUCUCCUCUCUCUCUCUCUCUUCCCCGCUCCUCUCUCUUCCCUCUCUCUCUCUCUCUUCCCCGCUCCUCUCUCUUCCGCUCUCUCUCUCUCUCUUCCCCUCUCCUCUCUCUCUCUCUUCCCCUCUCCUCUCUCUCUCUCUUCCCCUCUCCUCUCUCUCUCUCUUCCCCGCUCCUCUCUCUCUCUCUCUUCCCGCUCCUCUCUCUCUCUCUCUUCCCCGCUCCUCUCUCUCUCUCUCUUCCCCGCUCCUCUCUCUCUCUCUCUUCCCCGCUCCUCUCUCUCUCUCUUCCCCGCUCCUCUCUCUCUCUCUCUCUUCCCGCUCUCUCUCUCUCUCUCUCUUCCCCCUCUCCUCUCUCAGCUCAGAGACUGUGUCCUGUAGACAGUAUUCCUGGCUGUUCUGACUGUUUUUUUAAAGCUCGUCUCUGAUCACAGAGUGAAUCUAACUAAACUUCUACAGCCCCGGUGAGGGGUGUGUGUGUGUACUAAGCAGGGAUUUUGCACAUGCUCAUUUAGCUGUGACUGUUGCUUCACCGUUAGUCCUUAGCUGGAGACGACUCCACUGUCCGGUACACUGUGUCCCUCCUCCCGUUACCGGCCACAACUUCUGAGGUCACUGCUUAGGACCCUGACCUAUGACCCUGACACACAGCAACCCCGAGGUCAACGUGUAUAUGAACUUUAACCCCUGAGGUCAAUAUGUACAUGAACUUUAACCCCUGAGGUCAGCGUGUAUAUAUGAACUGGUGACCGGAGUGGAUCAACUUUCUCAGAAAGAGGGAGAGACGGUGUUUAUUUGGGAGUGAAAGACACAAGGGAUUUGGUUUCUGUUGACAUCUGUUAUUGUACAACUGUCUGGAGUUCAUUAGGGCCCCCCUGUCUGGAGUUCAUUAGGGCCCCCCCCUGUCUGGAGUUCAUUAGGGCCCCCCCCUGUCUGGAGUUCAUUAGGGCCCCCC
rnacentral:lncRNA from 1 species